rnacentral:rRNA from 1 species
UACGGAGGGUGCGAGCGUUGUCCGGAAUCACUGGGCGUAAAGGGCGCGUAGGCGGAGUGCUUUGUCGGGCGUGAAAUUCCAGGGCUCAACCUUGGGGCUGCGUUCGAGACGGGCAUUCUAGAGUUCGGAAGAGGGUCGUGGAAUUCCCAGUGUAGAGGUGAAAUUCGUAGAUAUUGGGAAGAACACCGGUGGCGAAGGCGGCGACCUGGUCCGAGACUGACGCUGAGGCGCGAAAGCGUGGGGAGCAAACAGG